AGAGUUUGACUCUGGCUCAGGAUGAACGCUAGCGAUAGGCUUAACACAUGCAAGUCGAGGGGCAGCGAGAUGUAGCAAUACGUCGUCGGCGACCGGCGAAUGGGUGAGUAACACGUAUGCAACUUACCUCUUAGUGGUGAAUAACCCGAUGAAAGUCGGACUAAUACACCAUAUACUCCUUAGAUCCCAUGAGAAGAGGAGGAAAGAUUAAUCGCUAAGAGAUGGGCCUGCGUUCCAUUAGCUAGUUGGUAAGGUAACGGCUUACCAAGGCAACGAUGGAUAGGGGGACUGAGAGGUUGACCCCCCACAUUGACACUGAGAUACGGGUCAAACUCCUACGGGAGGCAGCAGUGAGGAAUAUUGGUCAAUGGGCGAGAGCCUGAACCAGCCAAGUCGCGUGAAGGAAGACUGCCCGCAAGGGUUGUAAACUUCUUUUGUAUGGGAUUAAAGUCACCUACGAGUAGGUGUUUGCAGUUACCAUACGAAUAAGCAUCGGCUAACUCCGUGCCAGCAGCCGCGGUAAUACGGAGGAUGCGAGCGUUAUCCGGAAUUAUUGGGUUUAAAGGGUGCGUAGGUUGCAAGGGAAGUCAGGGGUGAAAAGCUGUAGCUCAACUAUGGUCUUGCCUUUGAAACUCUCUAGCUAGAGUGUACUGGAGGUACGUGGAACGUGUGGUGUAGCGGUGAAAUGCAUAGAUAUCACACAGAACUCCGAUUGCGCAGGCAGCGUACUACAUUACAACUGACACUGAAGCACGAAAGCGUGGGUAUCCAACAGGAUUAGAUACCCUGGUAGUCCACGCAGUAAACGAUGAAUACUAGAUCUAUGCGAUACACAGUAUGGGUCUAAGCGAAAGCGAUAAGUAUUCCACCUGGGGAGUACGCCGGCAACGGUGAAACUCAAAGAGAUUGGCGGGGGUCCGCACAAGCGGAGGAACAUGUGGUUUAAUUCGAUGAUACGCGAGGAACCUUA
rnacentral:rRNA from 1 species